GGCUGAAAUAGAGCCGUUAGACCACAUUAAAUGAGCAUUAAAUGCACUUAAAAUGGGUUAAAAACUAGCCGUUGCGAAACUUUUCCGUCAUAGGGGUCGACUCAUGGGUCGACUCAUGCUUAUGGGUCGACUCAUGGGGUCGACCUCUGUGGAAAACAGCAGAAAAUAAUGGUUCUAUAAUUUUGGCCUAAAACCAGCAGAAGUCGACUCAUGGGGUCGACUCAUGCCUGGGUGUCGACCCAUGGGGUCGACUCACAGACUGUGCCAGCCAAAAAAUUCUGCGUGCCAAUCAGCCCUUUGUGCCAUGAGUCGACUCAUGGGGUCGACUCAAAUUUUCAAACAUGAAUAUCUUUCAAAAUACAUGUCCAAAAACUAU
rnacentral:lncRNA from 1 species